rnacentral:rRNA from 1 species
UACGAAGGGGGCUAGCGUUGUUCGGAAUUACUGGGCGUAAAGCGCGCGCAGGCGGUCUUCCAAGUCAGUGGUGAAAGCCCGGAGCUCAACUCCGGAACUGCCAUUGAAACUGUAAGACUUGAGGAUGAGGGAGGUGAGUGGAAUUCCCAGUGUAGAGGUGAAAUUCGUAGAUAUUGGGAAGAACACCGGUGGCGAAGGCGGCUCACUGGCUCAUUUCUGACGCUCAGGCGCGACAGCGUGGGGAUCAAACAGG